rnacentral:rRNA from 1 species
UUGACGGGGCCCGCACAAGCGGUGGAGCAUGUGGUUUAAUUCGACGCAACGCGAAAAACCUUACCUGGGUUUGACAUGCCGAGUACCCGAUGGAAACAUUGGGGUGCCCCGUAAGGGGAACUUGGACACGGGUGCUGCAUGGCUGUCGUCAGCUCGUGCCGUGAGGUGUUGGGUUAAGUCCCGCAACGAGCGCAACCCUCACCCUUAGUUGCCAUCAUUAAGUUGGGCACCCUAAGGGAACUGCCGCAGUUAAUGCGGAGGAAGGUGGGGAUGACGCCAAGUCCUCAUGGCCCUUAUAUCCAGGGCUACACACGUGCUACAAUGGACGGUACAAAGGGUCGCGAACCUGCAAAGGGGAGCUAACCCCAGAAAACCGCUCUCAGUUCGGAUUGGAGUCUGCAACCCGACUCCAUGAAGUUGGAAUCGCUAGUAAUCGCGGAUCAGAACGCCGCGGUGAAUACGUUCCCGGGCCUU